rnacentral:rRNA from 1 species
AACACUCCCAGACGGUUUCGGCUGUCGCUAUAGGAUGGGCCCGCGGCGCAUUAGCUAGUUGGUGAGGUAACGGCUCACCAAGGCGACGAUGCGUAGCCGACCUGAGAGGGUGAUCGGCCACACUGGGACUGAGACACGGCCCAGACUCCUACGGGAGGCAGCAGUAGGGAAUCUUCCACAAUGGGCGAAAGCCUGAUGGAGCAACGCCGCGUGAGUGAAGAAGGAUUUCGGUUCGUAAAACUCUGUUGUAAGGGAAGAACAAGUACAGUAGUAACUGGCUGUACCUUGACGGUACCUUAUUAGAAAGCCACGGCUAACUACGUGCCAGCAGUCCGCGGUAAUACGUAGGUGGCAAGCGUUGUCCGGAAUUAUUGGGCGUAAAGCGCGCGCAGGUGGUUUCUUAAGUCUGAUGUGAAAGCCCACGGCUCAACCGUGGAGGGUCAUUGGAAACUGGGAGACUUGAGUGCAGAAGAGGAUAGUGGAAUUCCAAGUGUAGCGGUGAAAUGCGUAGAGAUUUGGAGGAACACCAGUGGCGAAGGCGACUAUCUGGUCUGUAACUGACACUGAGGCGCGAAAGCGUGGCGAGCAAACAGGAAUAAGAUACCCCUGGUCAGUCCACCGCCGUUAAACGAAUG